rnacentral:rRNA from 1 species
AUGAACGCUGGCGGCGUGCCUAAUACAUGCAAGUCGAGCGAACAGACGAGGAGCUUGCUCCUCUGACGUUAGCGGCGGACGGGUGAGUAACACGUGGAUAACCUACCUAUAAGACUGGGAUAACUUCGGGAAACCGGAGCUAAUACCGGAUAAUAUAUUGCACCGCAUGGUUCAAUAGUGAACGACGGUUUUGCUGUCACUUAUAGAUGGAUCCGCGCCGCAUUAGCUAGUUGGUAAGGUAACGGCUUACCAAGGCAACGAUGCGUAGCCGACCUGAGAGGGUGAUCGGCCACACUGGAACUGAGACACGGUCCAGACUCCUACGGGAGGCAGCAGUAGGGAAUCUUCCGCAAUGGGCGAAAGCUUGACGGAGCAACGCCGCGUGAGUGAUGAAGGUCUUCGGAUCGUAAAACUCUGUUAUUAGGGAAGAACAAAUGUGUAAGUAACUAUGCACGUCUUGACGGUACCUAAUCAGAAAGCCACGGCUAACUACGUG